AUUGAACGCUGGCGGCAGGCCUAACACAUGCAAGUCGAACGAGUGGCGGACGGGUGAGUAAUGUCUGGGAAACUGCCUGCUGGAUGUGGAUCACUACUGGACACGGUAGCUAAUACCGCAUACCAUCGGAUGUGCCCAGAUUGGAUGAGCUAGUAGUAGGGGUAACGGCUCACCGAGGCCACGAUCCCUAGUUGGUCUGAGAGGAUGACCAGCCACACUGGAACUGAGACACGGUCCAGACUCCUACGGGAGGCAGCAGUGGGGAAUAUUGCACAAUGGGCGCAAGCCUGAUGCAGCCAUGCCGCGUGUAUGAAGAAGGCCUUCGGGUUGUAAAGUACUUUCAGCGGGGAGGCGUUACCCGCAGAAGAAGCACCGGCUAACUCCGUGCCAGCAGCCGCGGUAAUUC
rnacentral:rRNA from 1 species